UAACGCGUGGGUAACCUGCCUCAUACAGGGGGAUAACAGUUAGAAAUGACUGCUAAUACCGCAUAAGCGCACAGGACCGCAUGGUCCGGUGUGAAAAACUCCGGUGGUAUGAGAUGGACCCGCGUCUGAUUAGUUAGUUGGCGGGGUAGCGGCCCACCAAGACGACGAUCAGUAGCCGACCUGAGAGGGUGACCGGCCACAUUGGGACUGAGACACGGCCCAAACUCCUACGGGAGGCAGCAGUGGGGAAUAUUGCACAAUGGGGGAAACCCUGAUGCAGCGACGCCGCGUGAGUGAAGAAGUAUUUCGGUAUGUAAAGCUCUAUCAGCAGGGAAGAAGUUGACGGUACCUGAGUAAGAAGCCCCGGCUAACUACGUGCCAGCAGCCGCGGUAAUACGUAGGGGGCAAGCGUUAUCCGGAUUUACUGGGUGUAAAGGGAGCGUAGACGGCAGUGCAAGUCUGAAGUGAAAGCCCCGGGCUUAACCCGGGAACUGCUUUGGAAACUGUACGGCUGGAGUGCUGGAGAGGUAAGCGGAAUUCCUAGUGUAGCGGUGAAAUGCGUAGAUAUUAGGAGGAACACCAGUGGCGAAGGCGGCUUACUGGACAGUAACUGACGUUGAGGCUCGAAAGCGUGGGGAGCAAACAGGAUUAGAUACCCUGGUAGU
rnacentral:rRNA from 1 species